UACGAAGGGGGCUAGCGUUGCUCGGAAUCACUGGGCGUAAAGCGCACGUAGGCGGAUUGCUAAGUCAGGGGUGAAAUCCUGGAGCUCAACUCCAGAACCGCCUUUGAUACUGGCGACCUUGAGUCCGGGAGAGGUGAGUGGAACUGCGAGUGUAGAGGUGAAAUUCGUAGAUAUUCGCAAGAACACCAGUGGCGAAGGCGGCUCACUGGCCCGGUACUGACGCUGAGGUGCGAAAGCGUGGGGAGCAAACAGG
rnacentral:rRNA from 1 species